GUGUCAGCAGCCGCGGUAAUACGGAGAUGGCAAGCGUUGUUCGGAUUUACUGGGCAUAAAGCGCACGUAGGCGGAUCCACAAGUCGGUUGUGAAAUCCCGGGGCUCAACCCCGGAACUGCGGCCGAUACUAUGGGUCUAGAGCACGAAAGGGGAGAGUGGAACUUCUGGUGGAGCGGUGAAAUGCGUAGAUAUCAGAAGGAACACCGGUGGCGAAAGCGACUCUCUGGUUCGUUGCUGACGCUGAGGUGCGAAAGCUAGGGGAGCAAACGGGAUUAGAUACCCCGGUAGUCC
rnacentral:rRNA from 1 species